AGAAAACCAAUCGGGGCAGUUUGCGGAAAUGACGUAACGACACAAAACAUGGCGUCUGAUUCAAACGACUUCGGCUCAAUUUCAGCAGGUGGUGACGCUACCAUUUGAGGAGCCAUAAUGCAGGACAAGCCAAAGGAGCAAAGGAGAGCACCCGGCCAGGCGGUGGAGAACGCGGCAAUGAUGCAAAAUGCUGGCAGCAGCACCGAGCUGGAUGCCUCCCAGCAGCCACGAGUGAAAGCGGGCGACGGGGAGCAAGGGAAGGAUAAAGUCAAAGCAUCUUGUGACAGCGACCUGACAGGAAGGAGGAGGAUCCAUCAGUUGGAAAAGGAAAAGCUGGAGAUGAUGUCCACACACAACCAGCAGCUGUGUACGUUGGAGGCGGAAGUCACCCGCCUCCGGGCCUCUGUGGAGCACGGGGAAGCUCAGAGGGCAGAGCUGCAGUACCAGUUGACCGUGAGCCGCAGAGAUGCCCAGCGAGCGUGCGACAAAAACGAAGCACUCAAAGAGGAAGCUGCAUCACUGCAGAAGCUUCUGGACAUGACUCAACAGGCCCGGCAGGAGGAACGGCUCGCUUUGCAGCAGGAAGUGGCCGAGCGCGACGCGCUAAUUGACAGCUUGACUUCAGAGAGCGAACGACUGCACCGACUCCUGCAGAAUCAAAAGGAGACUCUGGAGGAAGUGCAGAGGAGGAUGAUGGCGCUGCAGAAGGAGCAAGAGAAGGAUCACAAAUCUCUGGAGGCUAGCAUGGCAGCCGAACGAGCGGCUCACCUUGAGUUCAAGCAGAAGUGUGAGGUCACACAGGCGAUGCUUGCAGUGCAGCGGCGUGCCCAGCAGGAGGCGCAGUGCAAUCUGGAGCUAUUAAGAAGAGAGCGUCGAGAUUUGGAGAGAGCUUACCAGGAUGAGAAAGAGAGCAGCCAACUCACUGAGCAAGCUCUGCAGCGCCUCCAGACAGAGUACCAGCAGUACAAGUGCGAUCUGAGCGUUGCCUUGGAGACAGAGAAAAAGAACAUCGCUGACCUGGCUGCGAAGCUGGAGGAGGAGAAAAGGCAACACGGCAAAACACACCUGCAUCUGGAACAGCUGCUGAAGAGAGAGGUGCAUUAUGGGAAACUCCUGGAAGUCAUCAGGGAGGUUCUCCAACAGCACACACGUAAAGGUUCAAAGGAUGAUGGGAAUGGAAGUCCUGCCGACGUGAUGCAGCUGCUCAGUUUGACACUCAGCAGACAGGAAGUAGCUGAGCAACAGGUCCAGGAUCUGCUGUUGGCCUGCGAGAGACUGGACGAGGAGAAGCGGACCCUCAAAGGCGUGGCUGCGCAUCAGAAGCAACUUCUUCAAGAGGCUCGCCAGCUGUCACUCACGCUGCGGGAGCGAGCGACCCACCUGCAGGAGGAGAGCCGUGAUUGGUCCGUGGAACUCCAGAAACAGUCAAAGGCCCAUCUAUCCUUCCUGCACUGCGUCUAUCAGCGCCUACUUGCGGGCCAUGCGCUAGCAGAGCCGCAAAGCAUGCUGGGCACUUUCAGCCGGUCAGACUUGUGUGACCUCAUCAACGAGCUGGUGGAGCAGCUGACCUCUGACCUCCAGGAAGCCAACAAUAAGGUGGCGCAUAGUCAGGCGGCGUGCAAGGAGAAGAGUGGACGCUUGAACCAGCUGCAGCGGCGUCACAAGCUUAUGCAAGUUCGUGCUCAGGAGAGCGGGAAGAAGCGGGCGGAAGCCUGGAUCGGCCGACACGCGCGCACUGUCACUCAGCUGCGGGACCUCCUCUCACUGAGCCGCAGAAAAUCAUCCUCCUUCUUGUCGGCAUGCGCGCUCCUCGCCGGUAUGACGGCGCACACCCAGCGCCGCCUGAGAAGCCUCGCUGAGCAAAACCGUCUUCUAGCCUCGCGCUUGGCAGCGAGGGAGGAGCUGGAGGAGGAGCUGCGGCGGCUGGCCGGCGCGCUGAGCGGAGACGGAGGGGAGAAAACACUGGAGGGGACACUGGCCAAGAGGCGAUGGAAGAAGUACGUGUGCGUGGUGUCAGCGCUGAGGUGGUGGCGCGCCGUCGGAAGGAGGAGCAUGGAGUUGUUUCGGCUGGAGAUGGGUGGGGCGGGUCCCGUGGUGUGCGUUGCGACGGCAGCUCUGACGGGAGAGGAUGUUGGUAAAGAUCGCGAUGCAUUGUGUGCUCGCUGGCUUCGCUCCAAACGUCUAUCCUCCACCAUCUUGGCCUGCAUGGUCGACCUGCCUCCUGCCGCCUCCUCUCCAACAAAAGUGAGCUCAGCAGCACGGUCUGGAUUGGCUCGCCUCCUGGAUCAGAUUGCGAGCCAAUCGGAAUCCGCCCCUGACAUCCUGCGCGAGAUGAUCCCACAGACUCUGCCCCCCAGUGAUUUGAAGAUGCUGGUGUCCCGCCUCCAGCAGCACUUUCUCCUCCUCAGCCAACGGCUGCACUCGGCUGAGGUGGAGAGGCGGAGCCUGAGACUGCAGGUGGCCCAUCUGAGGAGGCCAGAGUCCAGCAGGGAGGACAACUGCAGGACGGUUCCAGCAAAACACUUCCACAGCGUGUGCGCGGACCUACGGCGAGCACUCACUGGCGAACAGGAAGCACGCGCACUGCUUCUUGAGCAAUCGACACAGCGCGACGCUCUACAGCUACGGGUCAACGCACACACUACCGAGCGGGACCAAGCCCACCGUGCGCUUAACCGCAUGGCGGAGGCGCUGGCAAAGGCUCGACGGCGCCUGAGAAGAAAGGAGCGCUCGUUGAGGAUUCUGGGCAAGCACCUGUCACGAGUGGACAAAGAGAGGCGGCGACUGGAAGGGCGACUGCGACAUGCCUCGGCUGGCAGACGCCAGGAUCACGCGAUCGGUUAUCGGAAGGCAGCGGCGCGGCACUGCAAGGAGAUGUCCAAGUGUCCAAAUUCCGGUGCAUCAAACGAGCUGCCAAACCCAGGAAGUGAAAGUCUUUAAGGUCAGAGGUGCCCAAUUCCGGGCUACAGAGAGACUGAGCAAAAAUGUUUGGGAAGAAAAUGGGCUGACUUUUCCUAAAUGGAAGCUUCUUAUCCUUUUUGUCAGUCACCAUCACAAAUUGAGGUUGAAUGAACUUCCAAGGACAACACGUUGCUGGUUUCCAUCGUGACAGCACUUUUUAUAUCACAUACGAAAACGCAUAUGUUUCUCUGUGUUAGACUAAGUUAAAAAAAAAAGUAGCAGAAAAGUAGCACAAGCGCUGACGCCAGUGUUUUCAUUCACUUUCUGUCACAGUCCGAGUUUGUCCCACCAGAUUGAAGUCAAAUUCCGCACAUAACAGUUCGCCUUUUCCUCCUGAUGGGCGAAGCACAAGGAUCAAAGUCUUAAUCCCCCUGACAAAGAAAUAAAACGGAAUCAUUGAAGUAUCAUCUCAGUGAAUCAUUGCCUCUAAACACGGCGGCUCAGAACAGUAAUCCUCUCGAGUCCCGAGAGUCAUUUUGAAAGCAAGAUGACGCUAAUCGGCUUCCUUGUCGUUUUCGCCCUCAGGCGACAAACAAGUUGUCGCAGCAACAAGAAAAAAACAACUUGCCCUACUUGGAGCUGCCAUCCAGAACCUCUCAUGAGCGCCUUCUUCUCAUGUCAACUUUCUUGGAGGUCCUUUUGUCACGUCCACGAUCCAGAGUGCCUUUUUGUCAUGUCCACUCUCAUCUCUCACCUACUUGAACUUCGUGAAGGUUCAGCUGCAGGCAUUCCUCGAGCUUUUUUCACCGUUAUCCAAUUGGAGGCUGGUGGGCGGAGUCAAAUCGUCAAGAAAAAGAAUAAAUCAGCCAAGCGGCAUGCAGAUAGGCGAGAAGACGACGAGGACUCGAAGGAAGGUGCUGCUAUUCAGAGACCAUGUCUGAAGAAGUCAUCUUCUCCACCAAUCGGCAGAUGGCACGUGAGGUUUGUCACAUCCUCCAGUCGCAGGGUCGAAAGCCAUCCCAGUUGCUUCUCGUUGCCGAUGGUUCCGACAACAUUCAAUUGGGAAGGUGCCGGAGCCCUGACGAGGAGCUGCUACUCCUCCAACAAUUACUCUGCUUUGCCAAGACAUGGCAAUUCAUCCAUGGAAUGGCUACUGCCAAUCACAUAAGUCCUUUCCCCGCCAAGGAUCAGGUGGGUGGGGCCAGGUGGAAUCCUUCCCCCCUGCAUCCGGCCACCUCUACCCUCAGGUCUUUACAAUGGCCUCAUAAAGGACGAGUCUUGUGCGGCCUGUGUGGGAAAAGUUUCUAUGACAAAGGAACGUUGAAGAUCCACCACAGCGGUGUGCAUCUCAAGAUCAAACACGGCUGCACAGUGGCAGGCUGCGCCAUGCUCUUUAGCUCUCUGCGCAGUCGGAACCGACAUAGCGCCAACCCCAACCCACGUCUGCACCGUGGUGCUUUCACAAUGAAAGAUGACUGGACCCCUCCGCAAAGUACAGGUGGCAAUGCCCCUGGCAUAGGAACAACGUGCCAGUCAGCAUCAUUAUGUGGCAGUGCGAGCAAAGCAGAGCAACUAGUUGCUGUCGCCGGCUUGCCGGCCAAUCAGUAGCCGUCCUGGGAGUCACAUGACAGCUCGCCCCAAAGGAAAAAGUCUAGAUUCUAGAAAGUUGAGCAUGCCGCUAAAAGUCAUCGGUCAUUUGGAAUGAAUUAUUUUAAAAACUUGAAUUGUUCACUUUGGCGCCAUCUAGUGGACAAACAAGUUGUUCCAUAAAAAUGCAUGCCUUUUGUUCUUUCUUUACUGUCAACUACGGGGGAAAAAACAAUACAAAUAAAAAUCACAAACGAUC